UAAUAUAUCUAAGACAAAUCCUUGUUUAGUUGUGAUAGAUAUUUACCUGAAUGCUCAGAAUUACUUAUUAUCACAAGCUCGUUACAUUAGAAAAAGACUAAAUUGCCCCCCAUAGUUAGUUAAAUGAUUUGGU
rfam:Populus trichocarpa isolate Nisqually-1 chromosome 11, whole genome shotgun sequence.